rnacentral:rRNA from 1 species
ACAGAGGGUGCGAGCGUUGUCCGGAAUCACUGGGCGUAAAGGGCGCGUAGGUGGCCCCACAAGUCAAUGGUGAAAGCUCGAUGCUUAACAUCGAGUCGGCCACUGAUACUGUGGGGCUGGAGCACUGUAGAGGCUAAUGGAAUUCCGGGUGUAGCGGUGGAAUGCGUAGAGAUCCGGAAGAACACCGGUGGCGAAGGCGGUUAGCUGGGCAGUUGCUGACACUGAGGCGCGACAGCGUGGAGAGCAAACAGGA